GUGCCGCAGCCGCGGUAAUACGGAGGGUGCGAGCGUUAAUCGGAAUUACUGGGCGUAAAGCGCAUGCAGGCGGCCUGUUAAGUCAGAUGUGAAAGCCCGGGGCUUAACCUCGGAAUUGCAUUUGAAACUGGCAGGCUAGAGUCUUGUAGAGGGGGGUAGAAUUUCAGGUGUAGCGGUGAAAUGCGUAGAGAUCUGAAGGAAUACCAGUGGCGAAGGCGGCCCCCUGGACAAAGACUGACGCUCAGGUGCGAAAGCGUGGGGAGCAAACAGGAUUAGAAACCCCCGUAGUCC
rnacentral:rRNA from 1 species